AUUAGGAGAUUUUUUGAUGUUUUGAAUUUUGCGCCCUGCACUUUCACUGGCUGUUGUAAUAUCAUCCCGUUAAACAGGAUGUCAGCCCAAAGAGGAUUUAUUAAUGUGUUGACAGGCACCCUAAAUGACAUCCAUUUUGAAUUGUGAGAACAACAACAGACAAAGGUUCCAACUUCUUGAAAGCUCUCCAAGUGUUUUGGAGAAGAUGAAAACAACGAGACAGUGGAAGCAGCGGGUGGUGCGGCAGAUCAGCCAAGACAGGAAGAUGGUUAAGAGGAACAAUAGGAGAGUGAAGGAGUGGAGUUUGUUGAUGUGGCAACGAUCCUGAAUGAAGAUGAUGGAUUUGAGUACAAGCUGAUGCGCCCGAAUGCUACAAGGUGGAACAAGGUGGAACUCCUGAGGAUCGUCAAAGACAAAGGAGAGGCGGUCUUCAGAGUUCUCUGCACAGACUUCGAGGUUCCAAUGUUCAAUCCAGCUGAACUCGCCUUCCUCACAGAGUAUGCUGCCACCAUGGAGCCCAGUCGCAAAGGCCCUCAAAAUCCUGCAGGCUGAAACCAAUGUCCAGAUGGCGUGGCUACUUCCAACUAUCAACCUGCUGAUCACAAAACUUGACCGAGUCCCUGAGGUACUGUAAGCCUCUGGUGGAUGUGCUACAACUGGGACCAAAGAAGUGCUUCAGCCACAUGUUUCACGAACCUGAGCUUUAUCGCAGCUGCAUUCCUUCUCCAAAAAAAAAAAAAAGAACGUGGACAAAGGAUGACGCCACCA